ensembl:rRNA 5S_rRNA 5S ribosomal RNA
GUCUAUGGCCAUACCACCCUGAACGCGUCCAAUCUCGCCUGAUCUCUCGAAGCUAAGUAGGGUCAGGCCUGGUUAGUACUUAACUGGGAGACCGCCUGGGAACAACGGGUGCUGUAGGCU